GGAAGGAUCAUUACUGAAUUGUCAAACGGGCUGUUGCUGGUCCUCGAAUGGGGACAUGUGCACGCUCUGUUUACACAUCCACUCACACCUGUGCACCCUCUGUAGUUUUACGGUCUGGGGGACCCUGUCUUCCUUCCGUAGUUCUAUGUCUUUCAACACACACACACUGUAAUAAAGUCUUAUGGAAUGUAUGCCGCGUCUAACGCAACACAAUACAACUUUCAGCAACGGAUCUCUUGGCUCUCGCAUCGAUGAAGAACGCAGCGAAAUGCGAUAAGUAAUGUGAAUUGCAGAAUUCAGUGAAUCAUCGAAUCUUUGAACGCACCUUGCGCCCCUUGGAUAUUCCGAGGGGCAUGCCUGUUUGAGUAUCAUGAACACCUCAACUCUCAUGGUUUGCCGUGACGAGCUUGGACCUUGGGGGUUUUGCUGGCCUGUGGUCGGCUCCUCUCAAAUGAAUCAGCCUCCCAGUGUUUGGUGGCAUCACGAGUGUGAUAACUAUCUACGCUCGCGGUUGCCCACCAGGUAACCUUUGGUGACAAAGGUUCGCUGGAGCUCACAGAUGUCUCUCCUUAGCGAGGACAGCUUUUUAACGU
rnacentral:rRNA from 1 species